AAAACCAUCGUCAGAUUUGCUUUAAAAUAAAAAGAAAAAAGACUAACAGGAUGCAAUGAAACUCAACAAAUGGAUGGAAGUUUAAAGCAUAUAAGAGUACUAAGGAGACAGAAAAAGCGAAGGAGGACCAGGUACUUCUGCAACGGCUGCUGCGUUGAAUAGAAGUAAUAUUAACAUAAGGCGACGAUAAAGAACAAGCGAGCAAGGGCGAAAGAAAGACUAUAUAUAAUUUAACGACGCUAAGCAAGGGAGGACGAUGUCAUUUUUUUCUUGCGCAGCGUGGCCGUAGCACGAUAUGGGUAUGUAUGUGUAUGGAUUGAGUAACUAGAAAAGUAUAUGUACAUGAAGAAACUCAGUUUCGCAAGAGAGGAAUAUAACUUGGGACAAAGAACGGAUAGAGAAUCUUCUUUCGUAUAACUUUUUAAUUAACCAAACAAUACUCGUUAGUCGAGAUUAUUAUGAUAAUCUGUUGUGUAACACACUUCACCUUGUUACUCUAUUAUUCAUCGGGUAUAGAACGAAGAAUACAACAUGCGGAAACAGCUAGCGGCCAAUCAGUUAAGUCGAGCAUUGUUUCGAACAAACGCGCGAGAGCAGAGGGUAGCCCCUAAUCCUUGCGGCCUAUCGAAAAUCCAUGAUCGAAAUAUAUCUACUCUGUCAAACGCAUGCGUACCUAGAUCGGUACCCUUUCGUCCGACAAGGAUUUUUACGGCUUUCAAUCCUGUCAGAAUGAAGGACGUGUCGCCUCUGGAUUUGCCAUCGAAAUCUUUGUUAUGUACUUUGCCAUAAAUCAGGAUGCGCUUCAAUCGAUGCGUUAUGAUCCGAUCAAAUUGCAGAAUAUAUUAAAUCAACGCAGACGAUA